UAGACAAGUGUAAAGUGCUACUUGUAGAG
rnacentral:piRNA from 1 species